rnacentral:rRNA from 1 species
CCUACGGGAGGCAGCAGUGGGGAAUAUUGCGCAAUGGGCGAAAGCCUGACGCAGCGACGCCGCGUGAGGGAUGAAGGUCCUCGGAUCGUAAACCUCUGUUAGCAGGGAAGAACGGUCACUGUGCUAAUCAGCAGUGAAUUGACGGUACCUGCAAAGGAAGCACCGGCUCACUCCGUGCCAGCAGCCGCGGUAAUACGGAGGGUGCGAGAGUUAAUCGGAAUUACUGGGCGUAAAGCGGGCGUAGGCGGUAUGUCAAGUCAAGGGUGAAAGCCCGGCGCUCAACGUGGGAACUGCCUUUGAAACUGGCAGACUGGAGUAUGGGAGGGGGAAGUGGAAUUCCAGGUGUAGGAGUGAAAUCCGUAGAUAUCUGGAGGAACAUCAGUGGCGAAGGCGACUAUCUGGAACAUAACUGACGCUGAGGAGCGAAAGCGUGGGUAGCAAACAGGAUUAGAUACCCCUGUAGUC